GGUGGUGCAUGGCCGUUCUUAGUUGGUGGAGCGAUUUGUCUGGUUUAUUCCGAUAACGAGCGAGACUCUAGCCUACUAACUAGUUUCUGGAUAAUCGAGUCCAGGUGACUUCUUAGAGGGACAGGCGGUGUUCAGCCGCACGAAAUUGAGCAAUAACAGGUCUGUGAUGCCCUUAGAUGUCCGGGGCUGCACGCGCGCUACACUGGAGGAAUCAGCAUGCGUUUCCUGCAUCGAGAGGUGCGGGUAAACCUUUGAAAAUCCUCCGUGAUCGGGAUAGGGAAUUGCAAUUAUUUCCCUUGAACGAGGAAUUCCCAGUAAGUGUGAGUCAUCAGCUCACGUUGAUUACGUCCCUGCCCUUUGUA
rnacentral:rRNA from 1 species